rnacentral:lncRNA from 1 species
UUCUGUAAAACUUUAUUUUGCUGUAUAUUGUAGGAAAAAAGUUAACAUGGGCUAGAACAUAGUUAAAUUUCUGCACUUAUCAUGCCCAGAGUCUUAAUACCCUUUUGGGAUUCGAGUAGCAUUUUGCAUAUGAUCGGUUAGGCUACAAAGAAGUUACGUUGCUACUGUAAAAUAAAUACUCGUAGAGGUUUGGUCUUUUACCAAUUUUAAGCCACAAAAUAAGCUGUACAAAAAAUGCAGAUUUUUGGUUUGGAAGUUAACUAAUAUUUGGACUAAAUGUAGUAAAUACAUACUGGUUUAUACUUUCCACUGUGCUCUUGAGCUCCUAAUCUCUUAGGUUUAUCUUAAUUAAAUCCAGCAUUAAACCAAAUCCCUCAGUUUCUUUUUCUGGUGCAUGGUGUGAAGAGAAGCAAACGGAACAUGCUGUUAAACCAAGUGUGUUACCAGGCUAAAGACUAAUUAAGGUUCAAGGGCACCAGAGCAGAGCAUCCAUGGGACUGAGCAACCAUCUCUUCAUAGUAGGACAGUUAGCAUUGUGCCCUUCUCUGAAGGAGGCCCCGGUAGUGUUAUGGUAAAAAAUCACUGUUCCAUGAAGUUUUAAUGUACAGGUUUUAGAAAAUCUUUUCCCAAGUGUAGUGGUUCUGAAAUAGCAUCUGGGUCUCUAUGCGCAACCCAGGGGUUAUAUAAACAAAUCAAUGUUACACCACAGUGGCUGUGGUAACAUUUAGAAGAGGGAAACCCCAUAAAUAGCAAAAGGAAAAAAUUACUUGUAGUAGCUCAUUGAACGAAUCAGUAGAAAAUUGGGUCAUUUUCACUUGGUUUACUCUCUGUUUUCAUAUGUCUCAUACUCACUGUUUGCGUUAACUCUUCUCCCCUCACACACAAAUCUUCCCAACUCCAAAUACCAAGGAAGGAAGGUAAACCUGAUGUGUAGUGUGAACUAAUUUGCCAUUGAUAAUAUAGCCUUUCAACGCAGGUAUCUUAGUAUUCCUGCUACUGGAAUAUCUUGGUGCAGUCCAGAGUACUUAAAAAACGUUAUUUUUCAGUGGUGAGGAAGUUUUAGAUUUCUGUAUGAAAACAGAGCAGAGAGAUUUUUGCAAGUAUGUAGUGCAGUGGCGAAGGACUAAAUGCUCUAAACCCAGGCUUGAAAUCAGUUCAAACCCUCUCCUGUUUCAGCAGUCAGACGGUGAAGCUGCCAAGUGUUCCAGCCUGCUCCAUCAGGACAGAGUAUCUAUGUAUUCUAUGAUUGUAUUCUAUGACUUUAUGAUUCUAAGGCCAGGUUGGACUGGGCUUUGAGCAAUCUGGUCUAGUGGAAGGUGUCCCUGCCCAUAGCAGGAGGAUUGAAAGUAGAUGAUCUUAAGGUCCCUUUCAACCCAAAACAUUCUAUGAUUCUAUGAUUCAUCAGUAGCUGAAAGGUAGCAACAAGAAUGGCUGAAACCAGUUGGAGUGACUGAACACAGUGA